rnacentral:rRNA from 1 species
AUUGAACGCUGGCGGCAUGCCUUACACAUGCAAGUCGAACGGCAGCACGGGAGCAAUCCUGGUGGCGAGUGGCGAACGGGUGAGUAAUACAUCGGAACGUGCCCAAUCGUGGGGGAUACUACGCGAAGCGUAGCUAAUACCGCAUACGAUCUACGGAUGAAAGCAGGGGAUCGCAAGACCUUGCGCGAAUGGAGCGGCCGAUGGCAGAUUAGGAGUUGGUGAGGUAAAGGCUCACCAAGCCUUCGAUCAGUAACUGGUGUGAGAGCACGACCAGUCACACGGGCACUGAGACACGGGCCCGACUCCUACGGGAGGCAGCAGUAAGGAAUAUGGUCAAUGGACGAAAGUCUGAACCACGCCAUGCCGCGUGGAGGA